ACCACUUCGUUUUUCGGAGUCGAGGCCAUACGGACAGCCGGGUUCACUGCCG
rnacentral:sRNA from 1 species